AGUUGGGAAGCAAUUAAUUUGACCAAGGGCCAGAAUAGAAUUCUGGUAUAUCUACACUUCAAACAAGUUUACAAUGGAAGAAUGGCCUCCUCAAAACCCCAAACAGCUGGAAUCGGGCCAAUUAGUAGGAUUAUUGCAAAGACCAGACAUUUAUCAGGACCCUUUUGCAGAAACACAUGUGGGGCUGUAAGCGAUGCAUUUCCUGGCUUCUGACAUGAGCUAAACAUCUGUUCAAGGCAAGGCUGUAAUGAAACUGUCCCAAGGCAUCUGAGAGUGGAGAGUGAUUGGACUCGGGUGAAGACUCCAAGAUGGCGAUCGCCACCUCGGAUACCCUGACUCAGCAUUUCCGGGUUCACCUUUCCUGUUCCCGCCAACCCGACUAACGCGCAUGCCCACUAGGGCGUGUCACACAGAGAAGUGCGAAACUCAACCGACCCCGCCCCUACCCCGCCCACUCCUCACCCAGCAUCCAUAAAAGCGUGCUGCCCCUUUGGCACAGCGCGACUUCCCUGGCCCUCCCCCUGCGGACCAGUGAACCUCGCCCGAGAGCUCAAUAAAGAAGAUUUUUGCCCUCUUUG
rnacentral:lncRNA from 10 species